rnacentral:lncRNA from 1 species
AAAGUUCAUCUCUCCUCACUUUUUUCUUUAUGGUUAGUGAAUAAGUUCAUUGGAGCAUUUUGAAUAAGAAGCUCUUUGUGAUAAUUUCUUUUGAACAUGCUCAUAUUGAAAUUCCCCAUCACACCUUUUAGGCGUUCUCAAACAAAUCAUUCUUCCAAAACCCGCUCUCUAACACUGCUAAUGUUCUAUGAAUUUGGGUCUAUAUCGUCUUCGACGGAGGUUGUUGCAAAUUACCUAAUUUUUCUUUGUCAAGGUAGUUGUUUUUGUUUAUUUAUUCCCUCUUAAGCGCAGGUAGAUCGCUAGAAAUCACAUUUUCCCAAAAUUUGUUAUGGAUGUAGUGGUGGGUGUGGCCACGACGGUACUUCUUCAGGUGGUGGUGAUAGGGUUUGUUUAGGCUCAUGGAAUGUUUCAGGGUUUCAGUUAUGUUGGGUAUGUGAACUUUAUUUGGGCUUAUGAUUAAUUAUUGUGAUAUGAGUUAGUAGUUUUAGUGCGGCCUUUGUCUGGAAGUCUAUAUAGAAGAAAAUGUAUACCCUCUAUGUAUAUAUAUACAAGCAAUUUCAUAAUCAUUUACGAUCGAAUAAAUGGGAGGAUAUGAAAAUGACCUUUUUUCUUCUAUUGCUUGCUAGGACCUUUUUUCUUCUAUUGUUUGCAAGGACCUUUUUGGAGUUAUGUUCUUUUUCUCUCUAUAUCAUGUAUUUGCCCUUUAAAUGAUGAAAUUGCUACCACUAUCCAAAAAAUAAUGAAAGAAUAUGAAAAUGAGAUAUUUUAGUUCGCAUUCCAACGUAAAACUUCUAGGGAGACUUUGGAAAAUGUCAAAUGAUAGAGAAAUUUUUUAAAAGAAGACAAAAUGGACAAAAUUGCCCUUAUUUAUUUUUGGAUUUCCUAAGGAAUCCCUUACAUUUGCAUAUCUUUGGUUUGAAAGUUUAGAGGUUUUUCUGUUUUUUUUUUUUU